rnacentral:rRNA from 1 species
UACCCUCGUUAAGGAAUUAGGCAAAUUAGCCCCGUAACUUCGGGAGAAGGGGCGCCCGUGGGGGUGAACUAUAAGCAUAGGGAGCCUCUGGGGGUCGCAGAGGAAUGGCUCUAGUGACUGGUUACCAAAACCACAGGUCUCUGCUAACGCGGAAGCGGCAGUAUAGGGGCUGACACCUGCCCAGUGCCGCAAGGUUAAAGGGAGGGGUAAGCGGAAGCGAAGCUCUGAACUGAAGCCCCGGUGAACGGCGGCCGUAACAAUAACGGUCCUAAGGUAGCGAAAUUCCUUGUCGGGUAAGUUCCGACCCGCACGAAAGGUGUAACAACUAGAGCACUGUCUCAACGAGGGGCCCGGCGAAAUUGAACACGCGGUAAAGAUGCCGUGUACCCGCAGCAGGACAAAAAGACCCCGUGGAGCUUUACUGUAGUUUGGCACUGGAUGAGGGUUGCGUUUGUGUAGGAUAGGUGGGAGGCGGAGAAGCUGGGACGCGAGUUUCGGUGGAGCCGGCGGUGAAAUACCACCCUGACGCAAUCUUGAUUCUAACUCUGGCCCGUGAACCGGGCAGGGGACCGUGCCAGGCGGGCAGUUUGACUGGGGUGGUCGCCUCCCAAAGGGUAACGGAGGCGCUCAAAGGUUCCCUCAGGUGGCAUGGAAACCCACCGGAGAGUGCAAAGGCAAAAGGGAGCUUGACUGUGAGGCCGACUGGCCGAGCAGGGACGCAAGUCGGACUUAGUGAUCCCACGGUACCGAGUGGAAGGGCCGUGGCUUACCGGAUAAAAGCUACCCCGGGGAUAACAGGGUGGUGAGGCCCAAGAGUUCACAUCGACGGCCUCGCUCGCCACCUCGAUGUCGGCUCGUCACAUCCUGGGGCUGGACAAGGUCCCAAGGGUUGGACUGUUCGUCCAUUAAAGUGGCACGCGAGCUGGGUUCAGACCGUCGUGAGACAGGUCGGUCUCUAUCCGCUGUGGGCGGAGGGGAUUUGAGGGGAGCUGCCUUCAGUACGAGAGGACCAGGGUAGACGGACCGCUGGUGUGUCAGUUGUGGCGCCAGCUGCAGGGCUGAGUAGCCAGGUCCGGCAGGGAUAACCGCUGAAAGCAUCUAAGUGGGAAGCCCGCCCCAAGAUGAGAUCCCCCACACCGAGAAGGUGGUAAGACCGCGGGAAGACGACCCGUUAGAUAGGCAGGGAGUGGAAGCGUUGUAAGGCGUGGAGCUAACCUGUACUAAAGGUCGAGGACUUCUUCC